rnacentral:rRNA from 1 species
GACGAACGCUGGCGGCGUGCCUAAUACAUGCAAGUUGAGCGCUGAAGGUUGGUACUUGUACCAACUGGAUGAGCAGCGAACGGGUGAGUAACGCGUGGGGAAUCUGCCUUUGAGCGGGGGACAACAUUUGGAAACGAAUGCUAAUACCGCAUAAAAACUUUAAACACAAGUUUUAAGUUUGAAAGAUGCAAUUGCAUCACUCAAAGAUGAUCCCGCGUUGUAUUAGCUAGUUGGUGAGGUAAAGGCUCACCAAGGCGAUGAUACAUAGCCGACCUGAGAGGGUUAUCGGCCACAUUGGGACUGAGACACGGCCCAAACUCCUACGGGAGGCAGCAGUAGGGAAUCUUCGGCAAUGGACGAAAGUCUGACCGAGCAACGCCGCGUGAGUGAAGAAGGGUUUCGGAUCGUAAAACUCUGUUGGUAGAGAAGAACGUUGGUGAGAGUGGAAAGCUCAUCAAGUGACGGUAACUACCCAGAAAGGGACGGCUAACUACGUG